AGUGGGAGCUGGCUUGCCUGCGAUGACGGUGUAUCAGUCACUGCAUGGUUGACUGAUGAAUCGCAAUCGCAGGCAAGCCAGCUCCCACU
rnacentral:misc_RNA from 1 species